GAGAGACGGCUUCUCAUCAUGGCGGACCCUAGAGAUAAGGCGCUUCAGGACUACCGCAAGAAGUUGCUUGAACACAAGGAGAUCGACGGCCGUCUUAAGGAGUGUGAGUGCACCUUUCUUUCCAUUUAAUCAAGUGCCUCGACUCGCUUCUGCCUCUGACAAAGCAGAAGCCUUUCGCCGAGCCCGGCAACCGAGCCUUAGAGAUGACCAGGCCUAGGGCCAGGGACAAGGCGCUUUGUCAUCCGGCCCUGAGCUUGUGGAGCAGCACUCCUUCGGGUGUAGAAAUGGCCCAGUCCAGCCCGGGUGACAGAACAUCGGCGGCCUUGAGUAAGGGAACAAUUAAAAGAACUUACCAAGCAGUAUGAAAAGUCUGAAAAUGAUCUGAAGGCCCUACAGAGUGUUGGGCAGAUCGUGGGUGAAGUGCUUAAACAGUUAACUGAAGAAAAAUUCAUUGUUAAAGCUACCAAUGGACCAAGAUAUGUUGUGGGUUGUCGUCGACAGCUUGACAAAAGUAAGCUGAAGCCAGGAACAAGAGUUGCUUUGGAUAUGACUACACUAACUAUCAUGAGAUAUUUGCCGAGAGAGGUGGAUCCACUGGUUUAUAACAUGUCUCAUGAGGACCCUGGGAAUGUUUCUUAUUCUGAGAUUGGAGGGCUAUCAGAACAGAUCCGGGAAUUAAGAGAGGUGAUAGAAUUACCUCUUACAA
rnacentral:lncRNA from 1 species